rnacentral:rRNA from 1 species
GCGGUGGAGCAUGUGGUUAAUUCGAAGCAACGCGAAGAACCUUACCAGGUCUUGACAUCCCUGACAACCCGAGAGAUCGGGCGUUCCCCUUCGGGGGACAGGGUGACAGGUGGUGCAUGGUUGUCGUCAGCUCGUGUCGUGAGAUGUUGGGUUAAGUCCCGCAACGAGCGCAACCCUCGACCUUAGUUGCCAGCAUUCAGUUGGGCACUCUAAGGUGACUGCCGGCUAAAAGUCGGAGGAAGGUGGGAUGACGUCAAAUCAUCAUGCCCCUUAUGACCUGGGCUACACACGUGCUACAAUGGCCGGUACAGACGGACGCAAAGCCGCGAGGCGGAGCAAAUCCGAAAAAGCCGGUCUCAGUUCGGAUUGCAGGCUGCAAUUCGCCUGCAUGAAGUCGGAAUCGCUAGUAAUCGCAGGUCCAGCAUACUGCGGUGAAUACGUUCCCGGGCCUU